rnacentral:rRNA from 1 species
UACGUAGGGUGCGAGCGUUAAUCGGAAUUACUGGGCGUAAAGCGUGCGCAGGCGGUUUUGUAAGCCAGAUGUGAAAUCCCCGGGCUUAACCUGGGAAUGGCAUUUGGGACUGCAAGGCUGGAGUGCGGCAGAGGAGACUGGAAUUCCCUGGUGUAGCAGUGAAAUGCGUAGAUAUCAGGAGGAAUACCGAUGGCGAAGGCAGGUCUCUGGGCUGACACUGACGCUCAUGCACGAAGCGUGGGGAGCAACAGG